rnacentral:tRNA from 1 species
AAGAAUUUAGUUAAAAUAUAACAUUAGCUUGUCAGACUAAAAUUAUUAAAAAUUAUAAUAAUUCUUG